UGAGGAAUAUUGGUCAAUGGGCGAGAGCCUGAACCAGCCACGUCGCGUGAAGGAAGACUGACCUUACGGUUUGUAAACUUCUUUUGUAGAGUAGUGAGAGUACCCGCAGAAUAAGCAUCGGCUAACUCCGUGCCAGCAGCCGCGGUAAUACGGAGGAUGCGAGCGUUAUCCGGAUUUAUUGGGUUUAAAGGGUGCGCAGGCUGUGCAUCAAGUCAGCGGUAAAAUCUCGGGGCUCAACCCCGUUUAGCCGUUGAAACUGGUGUGCUGGAGUGUGCGCGAGGAAGGCGGAAUGCGCGGUGUAGCGGUGAAAUGCAUAGAUAUUGCGCAGAACUCCGAUUGCGAAGGCAGCCUUCCAGUGCAUGACUGACGCUGAGGCACGAAAGCGUGGGUAUCGAACAGG
rnacentral:rRNA from 1 species